rnacentral:rRNA from 1 species
GACGAACGCUGGCGGCGUGCUUAACACAUGCAAGUCGAACGAUGAAGCUAGAGCUUGCUCUGGUGGAUUAGUGGCGAACGGGUGAGUAACACGUGAGUAACCUGCCCCGAACUCUGGGAUAACUGCUGGAAACGGUAGCUAAUACUGGAUACGACCAACGAAGGCAUCUUCUGUUGGUGGAAAGAAUUUCGGUUCGGGAUGGACUCGCGGCCUAUCAGCUUGUUGGUGAGGUAACGGCUCACCAAGGCGACGACGGGUAGCCGGCCUGAGAGGGUGAUCGGCCACACUGGGACUGAGACACGGCCCAGACUCCUACGGGAGGCAGCAGUGGGGAAUAUUGCACAAUGGGCGCAAGCCUGAUGCAGCAACGCCGCGUGAGGGACGACGGCCUUCGGGUUGUAAACUGCUUUUAUACGGGAAGAUUAUGACGGUACCGUAUGAAUAAGGACCGGCUAACUACGUGCCAGCCGCCGCCGUAA